rnacentral:snRNA from 1 species
AUACUUACCUGACAGGAGAUACCAUGAUCAUGAAGGUGGUUUUCCCAGGGCGAGACUUACCUAUUGCACUGCCGAUAUGCUGACCCCCAUGAUUUCUCCAAAUGUGGGAAACUCGACGGCAUAAUUUGUGGUAGUUGGGGACUGCAUUCAUGCUCUCACCUA